rnacentral:rRNA from 1 species
GAUGAAGGACGGGACUAACACCGAUAUGCUUUGGGGAGCUGUAAGUAAGCUAUGAUCCAGAGAUUUCCGAAUGGGGGAACCCAAUAUCUUUUAUAGGAUAUUACUUUUCAGUGAAUACAUAGCUGAUUAGAGGUAGACGCAGAGAACUGAAACAUCUUAGUACCUGCAGGAAGAGAAAGAAAAUUCGAUUCCCUGAGUAGCGGCGAGCGAAACGGGAAGAGCCCAAACCAACAAGCUUGCUUGUUGGGGUUGUAGGACUCCAAUAUGGUAGUCUGUUAGUAUAGUUGAAGGAUUUGGAAAAUUCCGCUAAAGAGGGUGAAAGCCCCGUAGACGAAAUGCUGACAACACCUAGGAGGAUCCUGAGUACGGCGGAACACGAGAAAUUCCGUCGGAAUCCGCGGGGACCAUCCCGCAAGGCUAAAUACUCCCUAGUGACCGAUAGUGAACCAGUACCGUGAGGGAAAGGUGAAAAGCACCCCGGAAGGGGAGUGAAAUAGAUCCUGAAACCGUGUGCCUACAACAAGUCAAAGCUCGUUAAUGAGUGAUGGCGUGCCUUUUGUAGAAUGAACCGGCGAGUUACGAUUGCAUGCGAGGUUAAGUCGAAGAGACGGAGCCGCAGCGAAAGCGAGUCUGAAUAGGGCGAAUGAGUAUGUAGUCGUAGACCCGAAACCAUGUGAUCUACCCAUGUCCAGGUUGAAGGUGCGGUAAAACGCACUGGAGGACCGAACCCACGUACGUUGAAAAGUGCGGGGAUGAGGUGUGGGUAGCGGAGAAAUUCCAAACGAACUUGGAGAUAGCUGGUUCUCUCCGAAAUAGCUUUAGGGCUAGCCUCGGAAUUGAGAAUGAUGGAGGUAGAGCACUGUUUGGACUAGGGGCCCAUCUCGGGUUACCGAAUUCAGAUAAACUCCGAAUGCCAUUCAUUUAUAUCCGGGAGUCAGACUGCGAGUGAUAAGAUCCGUAGUCGAAAGGGAAACAGCCCAGACCACCAGCUAAGGUCCCAAAAUAUAUGUUAAGUGGAAAAGGAUGUGGGGUUGCACAGACAACUAGGAUGUUGGCUUAGAAGCAGCCACCAUUUAAAGAGUGCGUAAUAGCUCACUAGUCGAGUGACCCUGCGCCGAAAAUGUACCGGGGCUAAACAUAUUACCGAAGCUGUGGACUACACCAUUAGGUGUAGUGGUAGGAGAGCGUUCUAAGGGCGUUGAAGGUCGAUCGUGAGGACGGCUGGAGCGCUUAGAAGUGAGAAUGCCGGUAUGAGUAGCGAAAGACAGGUGAGAAUCCUGUCCACCGUAUGACUAAGGUUUCCUGGGGAAGGCUCGUCCGCCCAGGGUUAGUCGGGACCUAAGCCGAGGCCGAUAGGCGUAGGCGAUGGACAACAGGUUGAUAUUCCUGUACCAGUUGUUUUUGUUUGAGCAAUGGAGGGACGCAGUAGGCUAAGGAAUGCAUGCGAUUGGAAGUGCAUGUCCAAGCAAUGAGUCUUGAGUAGAGUUAAAUGCUUUACUCUUUAAGGACAAGUUGUGACGGGGAGCGAAAUAAUAGUAGCGAAGUUCCUGAUGUCACACUGCCAAGAAAAGCUUCUAGUGAGAAAACAACUGCCCGUACCGUAAACCGACACAGGUAGUCGAGGAGAGUAUCCUAAGGUGAGCGAGCGAACUCUCGUUAAGGAACUCGGCAAAAUGACCCCGUAACUUCGGGAGAAGGGGUGCUGACUUCGGUCAGCCGCAGUGAAUAGGCCCAAGCGACUGUUUAUCAAAAACGGUCCUAAGGUAGCGAAAUUCCUUGUCGGGUAAGUUCCGACCCGCACGAAAGGCGUAACGAUUUGGGCACUGUCUCAACGAGAGACUCGGUGAAAUUUUAGUACCUGUGAAGAUGCAGGUUACCCGCGACAGGACGGAAAGACCCCAUGGAGCUUUACUGUAGUUUGAUAUUGAGUGUUUGUACCACAUGUACAGGAUAGGUAGGAGCCGAUGAGACCGGAACGCUAGUUUCGGAGGAGGCGCUGGUGGGAUACUACCCUUGUGUUAUGAACCCUCUAACCCGCACCACUAAUCGUGGUGGGAGACAGUGUCAGAUGGGCAGUUUGACUGGGGCGGUCGCCUCCUAAAAGGUAACGGAGGCGCCCAAAGGUUCCCUCAGAAUGGUUGGAAAUCAUUCGAAGAGUGUAAAGGCAGAAGGGAGCUUGACUGCGAGACCUACAAGUCGAGCAGGGACGAAAGUCGGGCUUAGUGAUCCGGUGGUUCCGCAUGGAAGGGCCAUCGCUCAACGGAUAAAAGCUACCCUGGGGAUAACAGGCUUAUCUCCCCCAAGAGUCCACAUCGACGGGGAGGUUUGGCACCUCGAUGUCGGCUCGUCGCAUCCUGGGGCUGUAGUCGGUCCCAAGGGUUGGGCUGUUCGCCCAUUAAAGCGGCACGCGAGCUGGGUUCAGAACGUCGUGAGACAGUUCGGUCCCUAUCCGUCGCGGGCGUUGGAAAUUUGAGAGGAGCUGUCCUUAGUACGAGAGGACCGGGAUGGACUUACCGCUGGUGUACCAGUUGUUCUGCCAAGGGCAUUGCUGGGUAGCUAUGUAGGGAAGGGAUAAACGCUGAAAGCAUCUAAGUGUGAAGCCCACCUCAAGAUGAGAUUUCCCAUUUCUUUAAGAAAGUAAGACCCCUGAGAGAUGAUCAGGUAGAUAGGUUGGAAGUGGAAGGCUAGUGAUAGUUGGAGCGGACCAAUACUAAUCGGUCGAGGACUUAACCAA